rnacentral:rRNA from 1 species
UGGGAAUUUUGGACAAUGGGCGAAAGCCUGAUCCAGCAAUGCCGCGUGUGCGAAGAAGGCCUUCGGGUUGUAAAGCACUUUUGUCCGGAAAGAAAUCCUUGGCUCUAAUACAGUCGGGGGAUGACGGUACCGGAAGAAUAAGCACCGGCUAACUACGUGCCAGCAGCCGCGGUAAUACGUAGGGUGCAAGCGUUAAUCGGAAUUACUGGGCGUAAAGCGUGCGCAGGCGGUUUGCUAAGACCGAUGUGAAAUCCCCGGGCUCAACCUGGGAACUGCAUUGGUGACUGGCAGGCUAGAGUAUGGCAGAGGGGGGUCAGAAUUCCACGUGUAGCAGUGAAAUGCGUAGAGAUGUGGAGGAAUACCGAUGGCGAAGGCAGCCCCCUGGGCCAAUACUGACGCUCAUGCACGAAAGCGUGGGGAGCAAACAGGAUUAGAUACCCUGGUAGUCCACGCCCUAAAACGAUGUCAACUAGUUGUUGGGGAUUCAUUUCCUUAGUAACGUAGCUAACGCGUGAAGUUGACCGCCUGGGGAGUACGGUCGCAAGAUUAAAACUCAAAUGAAUUGACGGGGUCAUAGCUGUUUCCU